rnacentral:misc_RNA from 1 species
UGCUUCGGCCAUCCUGCAAGAAUCAAGGGCAAAACAACAAAAGUAACCGAAAAGUUUCUUCAACAUGUCAAAAUCUAAUUUUAUAUUGCCAUAUGGAAAAAUAAUGAAGAUACAUUCUCCAAUAAUUACCCCUAGAGAAAGUGCAAAGUUUAGAAUCGCCACCAAAAAUUGACUUAAACUCAAAAGUUUAAUGCACAACAAUUGUACAGAGAACAUCAUUUAGCACAUACCCGGUCUUGUUAAGGACAUCCAU